GAGACCCAAGAGAGAGCGACCUCGUGCCCCUCUGUUACUAUAUAGAUUAGCUCAUACUAACGACAGCGCUUAACUCUAGCCAUAUAAGGACAAAACCCCCAAAUCCACAUUCCUUGUGACUUAUACCAUCUGUUACUUAUGUCAAUCCACACAUCCAUAUAUAAUCAAUAGAAACAUAGAGUAUGCAAUAGUCUACAUUCCCUCUGUUUAUGGUCUGUCUUAAAACCAUAACACAAUGUCACUAACCUGUCCAUUCAUCCAUCACUCGUAUCACAGUCAUUGAGCACAGAACAAGAUGUAGUCACAACUUUCUAUUAUAUGAGAGUUCUUGGAAGGUCGAGUUUCUAUCCCUCAUUCUGCUUACUUUACUUCAAAACUCCCUCUGUUUCAGCUAUGUAUUGAUAUCCAUAUC